rnacentral:rRNA from 1 species
AAUCAACGCUGGCGGCGUGCCUCAGACAUGCAAGUCGAACGCGAAAGUCCCUUCGGGGGACAAGUAGAGUGGCGCACGGGUGAGUAACACGUAGGUAAUCUACCUUUGGAUGGGGAAUAACAACCGGAAACGGUUGCUAAUACCGCAUAAUGCAGCGGCACCUAAUGGUGACAGUUGUUAAAGCGGGGGAUCGAAAGGACCUCGCGUCUAAAGAGGAGCCUGCGGCGGAUUAGCUAGUUGGUAAGGAAUGGCUUACCAAGGCUACGAUCCGUAACCGGCCUGAGAGGGCGGUCGGUCACACUGACACUGACAUACGGGUCAGACUCCUACGGGAGGCAGCAGUCGGGAAUUUUGGGCAAU